rnacentral:tRNA from 1 species
GGAGCUGUGCCCGAAGUUUAAGGACCACUUUGAUAGAGUGAACUAUGGGGGUUAAAGUCCCCUCAACUCCU